rnacentral:rRNA from 1 species
UACGUAGGGAGCAAGCGUUGUUCGGAUUUACUGGGCGUAAAGGGCGCGUAGGCGGCAAAUCAAGUCAUCUGUGAAAUCUCCGGGCUUAACUCGGAACGGUCAGAUGAUACUGCUUUGCUAGAGUGCAGAAAGGGCAAUCGGAAUUCUUGGUGUAGCGGUGAAAUGCGUAGAUAUCAAGAGGAACACCUGAGGCGAAGGCGGGUUGCUAGGCUGACACUGACGCUGAGGCGCGAAAGCCAGGGGAGCAAACGGG